AAAUACAACUUUCAGCAACGGAUCUCUUGGCUCUCGCAUCGAUGAAGAACGCAGCGAAAUGCGAUAAGUAAUGUGAAUUGCAGAAUUCAGUGAAUCAUCGAAUCUUUGAACCACCNUGCGCUCCUUGGUAUUCCGAGGAGCAUGCCUGUUUGAGUGUCAUUAAAUUCUCAACCUCACCUG
rnacentral:rRNA from 1 species